UACGAAGGUGGCAAGCGUUGUUCGGAUUUACUGGGCGUACAGGGAGCGUAGGCGGUUGGAUAAGCCCUCCGUGAAAUCUCCAGGCUUAACCUGGAAAGUGCAGAGGGGACUGUUCAGCUAGAGGAUGGGAGAGGAGCGCGGAAUUCCCGGUGUAGCGGUGAAAUGCGCAGAUAUCAGGAGGAACACCGGUGGCGAAGGCGGGUCUCUGGGCCGAAACUGACGCUGAGGAGCGAAAGCGUGGGGAGCAAACAGG
rnacentral:rRNA from 1 species